UACGUAGGGGGCAAGCGUUGUCCGGAUUUACUGGGCGUAAAGGGCGUGUAGGCGGUCUGUUAAGUCUGGCGUGAAAGCUCUCGGCUAAACCGGGAGAGGUCGUUGGAUACUGGCAGACUAGAGGACGGUAGAGGCGUGUGGAAUUCCGGGUGUAGUGGUGAAAUGCGUAGAGAUCCGGAGGAACACCAGUGGCGAAGGCGACACGCUGGGCCGUACCUGACGCUAAAGCGCGACAGCAUGGGGAGCAAACGGG
rnacentral:rRNA from 1 species